rnacentral:rRNA from 1 species
CCUACGGGAGGCAGCAGUAGGGAAUCUUUCACAAUGGGCGAAAGCCUGAUGGAGCAACGCCGCGUGCAGGAUGAAGGCCUUCGGGUUGUAAACUGCUUUUAUAAGCGAGAAAUAUGAUGGUAACUUAUGAAUAAGGAUCGGCUAACUACGUGCCAGCAGCCGCGGUCAUACGUAGGAUCCGAGCAUUAUCCGGAGUGACUGGGUGUAAAGAGUUGCGUAGGUGGCAUAAUAAGUAGCUAGUGAAAUCUGGUGGCUCAACCAUUCAGACUAUUAGCUAAACUGUUAAGCUCGAGACCGUUAGGGGUAACUGGAAUUUCGAGUGAAGGAGUGAAAUCCGUAGAUAUUAGAAGGAACACAAAUAGCGUAGGCAGGUUGCUGGGACGGUUCUGACACUAAGGAACGAAAGCGUAGGGAGCAAACGGGAUUAGAUACCCGGGUAGUC